AACAAACCCUAGCCGUCUUUCCCUUCCAAUUUCGCUGAGAAAUCGCUAGCCGUAAUCCCUUCCGAAGUUGACUGAAAAUUUCGAUCGAAACUGAAACCGAUUGAUCUCAGGCGUUCUAGACUCGUAUACCUUCGAUUCUACUCAUUCGCUUCGCUUAACGACCUGUCGACUGUUCGUACUUCAGAGGCGAACCAGAGUUAGAUUGCUUGUCAGGAUCACGUGGAUUUAGCAAGCAGUGAGUUUAUAUCUCU